CGCAUCUGUGCAUGCAGCAUAUCAAUAAGCGGAGGAAAAGGAAUGAGCGAAUUACAGAGCAUUGACAAGGCAUAUGUUGCGAAUACCUACGCUUAGGAUGUUGACGAGACUGUCGAUCUCAUCUAUACAUGACUCUGCGCAUAUCAAUAAGCGGAGGAAAAGUCAACUACCUACGCUUAGGAUGUUGACGAGACUGUCGAUCUCGUCUAUACAUGACUCUGUGCCGUGCAUAUCAAUAAGCGGAGGAAAAGACUGCGGAACUGAACGACCGCUACCUACGCUUAGGAUGUUGAUAUGCAUGACUGAUAUACGUCUAUACAUGACUCUGUGCAUAUCAAUAAGCGGAGGAAAAGUCGAUACCUACGCUUAGGAUGUUGACACACGCGCGUGCUCGGCUCUAUACAUGACUCUGUGCAUGCAGCAUAUCAAUAAGCGGAGGAAAAGAAACUAACAAGGACUUCCCCUAGUAACGGCGAGUGAAGCAGGAAGAGCUCAAAUUUGAAAUCUUAAAGGGUUUCCCUUUACGAAUUGUAGUUUAAAGAAGUGUUUUCUGUUGAGGUUUUGGUAAAAGUUCUUUGGAAUAGGACAUCAUAGAGGGUGAGAAUCCCGUAUUUGACCUUUACUUUCAACUUUGUGAUACACUUUCAAAGAGUCGGAUUGUUUGGGAAUGCAGUCCAAAAUGGGUGGUAAAUUUCAUCUAAAGCUAAAUAUUGGCGAGAGACCGAUAGCGAACAAGUACCGUGAGGGAAAGAUGAAAAGAACUUUGAAAAGAGAGUUAAACAGUACGUGAAAUUGUCAAAAGGGAAGCGUUUGACACCAGUGUUGUUUUUCUGAAAAUCAAUUAAAGAACUGUUUAUGCUAAGCUGUUUAGACUUUAUCAGCUAUCUGUUUAGUUUUGAGCUUUUCUUUAAUGCACUUUUCAGUUAACAAGUCAACAUCAAUUUCUUUUGCUGUAAAAAAGCUUGAGGAAGGUGGCUUGAGAUUCGUCUUAAGUGUUUAUAGCCUCUUGCCUAUGCAGUCGGAGAGAUUGAGGUCUGCAGCGUAGAUCCUUCGGGGCUAAAUGCAUUUGUGCUAAGUUAUAGCAUUUUAUAGACAACUUGUUGACUAUGAUUUGUCUUGUAGCUUACUCGCUUAUGUUAUUUUACCUACGCUUAGGAUGUUGACGAGACUGUCGAUCUC
rnacentral:rRNA from 1 species